AAUUGACCCCUAAAUAUUACACCUAUGACCUACCCAUUAGCAGUACUAUUCUUUAGAUCCACGAGAUAGGCCGAAUUCUCAUUGUAAGCUUAUCUCAAAUUCAAAGCAUUAAUGCCCACAACCUCCUCAGCCUUUUUAUGCUACGCGUAAUCAGGGAAUCAAAGGUGUGUUUGUGUCAUUUUAGGCCUAUAAUACGUUAAUGGAAAGUGUCACAUGUACAUAAUUGUCUAUAUAAUGAUGUUCAUAAUUAUACAUGGCACUCGAUCAAACCUUUAAUUCAAAUCUCACACUUGCACAUCAACAACGGAUGAUUGCCACAUCACAUUAUGGAUACCAUUAUGUGCAAUAAUUAUGUAUGAGUAGAACUUUCCUACGUUAAUUACCACCUCCAACUUGGACAAGUUCUUUACAAUGUCCCUAAUACAACACUCUCAUCUCUUUAGUAAUAUAAUAUAGCAUCUAUCACCGUUUGCAACUAUUAUCGCUUUCUUGAUUUCACAAUUUGUUCGUAUGUAAACUACUUAUAUUUUUCUCGUUGAGUUAUUCUAUGUAAAUUACAUAAUGGCUGGCUCAUCAUGUUCCUUGUCCAGUUUCUUGCCAUGUUUUCA
rnacentral:lncRNA from 1 species